GGGACAGCGGGAUGGCCGGGAAGGUGGCGCUGCUCCUGUGGGCCCAGACCCUCGGCCUGGCUGGCUGGUGUCCCCUGUCACCCGCAGGUGCCCAGAUCACCCAGCUCCUCGUGGAGCCCCCCUGGAGGCCGGCGGUGCUGUGGGACUGGGUGACACUGACCUGCCAGGGCUUGGG